rnacentral:rRNA from 1 species
GCGUUGCUCGGAAUCACUGGGCGUAAAGGGUGCGUAGGCGGGUCUUUAAGUCAGGGGUGAAAUCCUGGAGCUCAACUCCAGAACUGCCUUUGAUACUGAAGAUCUUGAGUUCGGGAGAGGUGAGUGGAACUGCGAGUGUAGAGGUGAAAUUCGUAGAUAUUCGCAAGAACACCAGUGGCGAAGGCGGCUCACUGGCCCGAUACUGACGCUGAGGCACGAAAGCGUGGGGAGCAAACAGG